rnacentral:rRNA from 1 species
UACGUAGGGUGCGAGCGUUGUCCGGAAUUAUUGGGCGUAAAGAGCUUGUAGGUGGUUUGUCGCGUCUGCUGUGAAAAUCCGAGGCUCAACCUCGGACUUGCAGUGGGUACGGGCAGACUAGAGUGUGGUAGGGGAGACUGGAAUUCCUGGUGUAGCGGUGGAAUGCGCAGAGUAUCAGGAGGAACACCGGUGGCGAAGGCGGGUCUCUGGGCCGAUGACUGACGCUGGAGGAGCGAAAGCGUGGGGAGCGAACAGG